AACGAACGCUGGCGGCAGGCCUAAAACAUGCAAGUCGAACGGGUGUAGCAAUACAUCAGUGGCGCACGGGUGAGUAACGCGUGGGAACGUGCCCUUCAGUACGGGACAACGUCGGGAAACUGACGCUAAUACCGUAUAAUAUCUCCGGAUCAAAGAUUUAUCGCUGAGGGAGCGGCCCGCGUCUGAUUAGCUAGUUGGUGAGGUAAUGGCUCACCGAGGCUACGAUCAGUAGCAGGUCUGAGAGGAUGAUCUGCCACACUGGGACUGAGACACGGCCCAGACUCCUACGGGAGGCAGCAGUUAGGAAUAUUGGACAAUGGGGGAAACCCUGAUCCAGCCAUGCCGCGUGUGUGAUGAAGGCCCUAGGGUUGUAAAGCACUUUCGUUGGGGAUGAUAAUGACCGUACCCAAAGAAGAAGCCACGGCUAAAUUCGUGCCAGCCGCCGCAGUAA
rnacentral:rRNA from 1 species